AGAAAACAAAACCAUUCCUUACUUUUUUGUUUAUAAUUAAUAAACUAUUUCUCAUUCUUUCGCAUGGAGUUACCUGCAACCCGCGGGCCGUCAGACUCUUUUUAUCUCCGACACGGUAUGGCUUAUUUAUCUUCGGUGAUACGGGAGACCGAAGUCUUUGCGGGAGUGGUAUAUUCUUUGCCGAUUAUUUUCUCUCCGCUUUUUACGGGUCAAUUUCAAUCAGUUAUUUCACCUUCUCCUUUUUUUUUUGUUUCCGGUAAAUUGGCGGAUUUAUUAAAAUGACGAACAACGUCUGACAGUUGCUCCGAAUUUUACAUCUUAUCUCACUUUUCCCAACAUAGAGUAUAAGUUUAUUACCGAG
rnacentral:lncRNA from 1 species